UGGGCUGCACCUGGGGCUUGACUCAGCCGGCAGGCUUUUGCAGAAUUAUGAGCACAGGAACCAAGGAAUUUGGGGUCCGGGAGCCAUGCAGCCCCUGUCAGUGUCCUCUGGGGAUCUUGUGCUCACGAAGUGCCUGCUAGACGCUUGAGCGCCGUGUAAAGGAGAGCCGUGGGGAGGAAAACCAGGUGCUUCCGUCCAAACACCAGCACCAAACUGCCUGAGAGAGCCCCCCAGUCAGCACCCUCCAGUGGAAUGCAGUCUGGUCGUGAUGCCAGGGGAACUCUGCAAAGGAUCUCUCCGGUUUACCUCUCAGAGUCAUCAACAAAUCAGCCUUGGUCUACAGAGUGAGAAUCCCUGAACAUCAGCCUGCCUGCUGACCCAGCCAGCUUCUCCUGAGUCACCGGAUGUCUCAGUGAGGCCGGAGCAUGCAUUAUUCCUACCAGGGAGCUUUACAAGAGGAAGGUAGGAUGUCUGAGACGAAGAAGGCAAGAAGAUAAAGACAGAGGUGCAGUGAUGUGGCCUCAAGCCAGGGAAUGUGAACCCUCUGAACAUUUCAAGAAGCAAGCAACAGAUUCCUACCUAGAGGCCCAGGAGGAACCAGCCCAGACGUCUUGACUUUGGCACAGUGAAACUGGUUUUGGACUUGCACCCUCCAAAUGACAAGAUAAUUAACAUGUAGGGUUUUUUUAAAAAAUAUUUAUUUAUUUGGUGGACUAUUUGCACAGUGCACAUAGAAGUCAGACUUAUAGGAGUGGCUUCUCUCCUUCCCUGAGGGUCCGAGAGAUCUAACCCAGGUCUUCAGGCUUUAUGGCAAGCCCCUGUCUGUGCUGAGCCAUUUGGACAACCCACCUGUGUUGUUUUCAAGCUUCCACGUCUGUGGUUAUUUGUCGCAACAGCCACAGGUAACUAAUGCAGGCUGAUGUGUGCAGUUAGGGAAAUGGAAAAAAAAAAGUCUGUUGUGUAGCUACAGUAGGUAAAAGUCAGAGGCCAAAGGUGUGGGUAUUCACAAGGCAUCAAAAUGUCAGCCUGAACAUGCCAGUUUGCUUGGGCUCACUUGCAAAGAGGUUAGGGGUCCCCAGGAAGGACUGUGGCUUGUGGCUGGCCUAUGUUUGCUGCCUAAGCCGACCUGGCCACUAGAUUGGACACUGGGCUCAGAAGGGUUGGCUCUCAAUGCUGCCCAGAGACUGACUGCCUCAUAGACACAAGCUGUGCUGUUUGCACGCUCCGGUAGCAUGAUGGGACAUAAAAAGCACAUGUCCUUACCCAGCUCCUCACACAGCCCAGCCCAGUGAGUUCUGGCACCUUGAAGGCUACAUCUGAAGAGGACUAACAGACCUCAUUGUUGGUCAUCGUCCAGAUGGCUGCAGAGCAAUGCCUCCUUGUGGGCAGCCAGACUCAUCAAAAGACAUGGGCAAAGAACAGAGUUCUAAGCACCCCGCAAGAACUGGUGGGCUAUGUCACUGCAGAGUAACCAGGACCCUGGCCCUUAAGCUAAGGUGUGUAGGUGCCCACCCAUUGGUGAGGCGCUGGCACUUCUUCCCGGGGCAGAGACACUUGUUCCUUAGCAGAUCAGCUGCCCUGGGGUCAUUGCACAGGUGUGACCACACCUCUUCUAAAGCAGGGCUUAGUCACAGGCGGUCAUAGGCAAGUCUCUGAGAAGGGCGUUUUCAGUUCUGAAGACUCUCUGUCAUAUCACAUAAUUCUGCCUAAAGAGCUGUGAGGCGCUGCCUGCCAUCAUCAGGCUGCUUGUUCCGGCCCUUUCCAUCUUCCUCCUUGCUGCUCUCUGGGUGGAGUGUGCUCACUGCUGGCUCGUGCCCCACCGCUCUGUGAACAGGGGUCGUGGCUGCCGGCCUGCAGAGCAUCUGCGCUCGGAAUGUUGCGCAGGGCCCAGCCCUGCACAAAGGUCGCCUAAUUAAUUAGCUGACUCCCCCAGCGUAAUGACUGAGGACGGAGGCUGGAGGUCUGGGAUCUGAAGGCCACAUGCAGCCUGUCUCUCAGCCCACGGCUCACUGAGCUGGAAAAUCUCCCAAACUAGCCAAGUGGAAGAGGCACAGAAGGAGAUAAAGGGAUUUUUCCACUGCGGUGGCCUGAGGGGGGUCGGUGGGAAGCUCUGCAAGAGUACAUGUGAUGCUCCCACAGGAGGACAGCCCCCUCUUUCCUCAGGGCACCAAGGGUCCUCUUUGGUGUCCUCGUCUGUCUCCUUGUGGCAUUAACCUGGACUGCCUCUCCUGUGCCGGCCCCACCCUGCCUCUUGUCUUUCCCCACUGGCUCCCCUGGGAACAGGAAAGAAAGACUUAGGGAAAGUUGCUCCCGGCUGCCCAGUGCUUGGGUAAAAAGGUCCCAAAAUGGAUCUUAGCAUGGCUGUAGGUUUUCCUUUGAUACCUUCCUCAGAGAGAAAGGUUCUGGAACAUUCUAGAACUUUAGGAGUUGUAGUACCAAAGGUAGGGCAGAUGGGAACAGAGGAGGGAGAGAAAAAAGAGAAUCUCUCUGAGAUUUUUCGAGUCAGGCUUCAUAUCCCCAGGCUUCAUACUGUCUGAGCCACUCACAGCCUUCAGAGGAGAAGCCUGCAUGUGAACGAUAAGGGUCAUUCACAGUGAGCAUGUGAAAUACAACAACUGGAGGGACAAAGGCUUCCACAGUACAAGCUCGCCUGCCGAUCACACAUUUGCAAAUGGCGACAUCCAAACACCAUGACUGUUUCUAAACAUUUAUCGACUACAAAUACCCCACUGAGAAUGUGUAACAAAUGCCUGGGUACUGAUACCAGUCCCCCGAGCUCCCUUUGAGUGUGUGGUAUGGUAUAGAUCAGCUCACUUGUUCCAGGGUGGAACUCUGAAAAUGUUUGGUCUUCUUCAGAGCCUGAGUCCAUAGCCCAAGUGUUCCUCAGCAGACAGGAGGAAAGAAAGCUGGCCUGGCACCAUAGCCGCUGAUCCAGCUGUACAGCCACAGAGGCCACCACCACUGGCAGGAGGCAGAGGUGGCACUGUUGUGUUGUGGAGGACUGCCAUAAAAGGGAGGAAGCCACAGGAAAACCAGAGGCAGGCUUGGUUUGAGAACUGUGGACAAAGCCCUGUCCUCCUCCUAUCUUGGCCCGGAAGAGUCAUCACUGUCUGUGAGCUCUGAGGCCCAGGAAGAAUACCUGUGUCAUGAUCUCAGAGUUGUGACUCUUGUAAUUUGCAAAAUGGUACUGGAACUUAGGCGGACUAUUUGCUAUGUGGUGGAUUGCCUUUCGGGUUCUCUUCUUUAUUGGCCUCAGUACUUCUCAGGGAACACAGUGGGCCUCUCACAGCCUGUGUGUUCUGACACAGGUACCGGUCCACAGAGCAACUUGCUUCAGCACUUACUCAUCUAUGGCAUCACAAUUUCUCCCAAUCCAUAAACUGGGCAAUUUAUGACUCUUCAGGAACUAUUUCAUAGUACAGGGCUUCCCAGAGUCCAUGGCAUUGAACUAUCAACCUUCCUUGUGCUGCGACCCUUUAAUACAGUACCUCACGGUGUAGUGACCCCCAACCAUAAAAUUAUUUCCAUUGCUACUUCAUAACUAUAAUGUUGCUACUGUUAUGAACUGUAGUGUAAACAUCUGUUAUUCCAGAUGGUCUUAGGUGACCCAAAGGAGUCGAGACCCACAGACUGAGAACAGUUUUCAGGCUUGGGCAGCAGCAUCGUUGAAACCAGCUGAGGGCUUGUUACAACACGGCCUCCUGGGCUUCCAACCCCAGCAAUUCCUGCUUGGUGGAGCUGGGGUUGAUGGGAGACCAUGUGCUCAGCAAAGUUGCAGGUGAUGUCAUGCUGGUCCCUGGACUAUGCUUUGAGAAUCUGGUGUGAAAUGGAUAGGAUGUGUGGGCAUGCUGAGUGUAGGCUUGCUCCCUGGAGUGACAGGCUAGGUGGGAAGGAAGUUUGAUGGUGUAUUUUCUGUCCAUUCGGGGGAUUUCUGAUUGGCCCCUUUUACUGACAGUUUGUUUUAGAAAACCAGACUUUAAAUCGGCAUAGUUACGUGAGCUUUGGGGUACAGUAUGUCAAGAGGCAGGUGGAUCACUGUGAGUUUGAGGCCAGCCUGGUCUAUAAAGUGAGUCCAGAACAGCCAAGGCUACACAGGAAAACCCUUUCUCAAAAACAAAACAAAAAUCAGAUCUCAUACUUGCAGUAUAUCAUGGCACAGGAUAUACAUUACUGUUCCAAAAUAUAGGGAAGAGAGCACAGUGGGGAAACGCUGGACCAGAGCAAGACUGAAAACCUGAGCAAACUCCAAACUCUGCAUCUCCAUGUCCGACGUCAAAGCCCUCUUCAGAUCUCCAGCUCCUUCCUUCUCUGUUGACAAGAACACACUUCUUUCUCUUGGGCUGAUGCCACUCCCUGUCAGCAACUCUCCUCGGCAGUGAUCCCACGGCUCUGGCAUCACUAACAUCUUGGGGUCUCCAAGGCAACCCAGGUUUCACCUUCACAGUUUCACACAGUGGCCUUUUGCAACUUCACGCAAUGGCCUCUCAAGGUCUCUGCUUAGAACAACCCCUGCCACACACCUGGCCUCGGUGACUUUGGUUAGUCUCUGGGGAGGGGGGACUGGGACACUCCAUGACCCAUUUCUUCUUGACUGUCUAGGCAUGUGGCUGAAGCUGCCAAGUUCUGCGGCUUGCUGGGACUGAAACAUGGUCUCCUUGUUCUGUUACAUCUUCACCAGCUUUCUGUUUUUGGUGGUUUCCUUCACUGCUGAAGCUUGGCUAUCCUGAAGCUUGCUCUGUAGACUGACCUUGAACUCAGAGAUCGGUAUGCCUCUGUCUCCUGAGUGCUGGGAUUAAAGGUAUGUACCACCAGGCCUGGACCUAAGCUUUUCUUUAAUUCUUUUUCAAUAUUGAUCUUUAUAAGCAUGGCCACUAUUUGUCAAGAUCUGGAUUAAACCCUUGUGUUAGUCUGAAUCAGAAGCCUGUGUCAUCCCCACCUCAAGAUCCGUAUCAAAGGCCUGCAGCCUGUUGUCCUGCAGCCUCAAGGUCCAGAUCACAGAUGUGCCUCCAUUUCUGAAUUAUACUUCAUUCCAGAUAUAGUCACAUUGACAACCAUGAACAGCCAUCACAGUCUCCUAGGGACAAUCCUGGGCUCUUCCACACCUGCCUUAGGUUUAUUUCUGUUUCCGUGAUAAAAACAUCCUGUCAAAAGCAGCCUAGAGUAGAGAGAGUUUAUUUUAGCUCACAGUUCUAGGUCCAUCACUGGGGGAAAGUCAAAGUGUCAAGAACUGCCACUAGUCACAUCCACAGUCAGAAGUGGGGAGGAUGGGAGGGCAUGUGUGCUGUGCACAGAUGUUUUCUCCAUUCUUACUUGACCUAGGAACCCCUGCCUGGGGGGUGCUACCCACAGUGGGAAGAUCUUUCCACCUUAAAGGACACAGUCACGAUAACCUCCUAUAGACAUUCCCAGAGGCCAACCUAACCUGUCUAGCACUGACUCUCUCUCCAGAUGAUGCUAGAAUGUUUCAAACUAACAGUUAAACCCAGCCACAGCACCUCAAGGUUAGAACAUUCCUGCCCUGGGCUCACUUUCUAUAAUCGUGAGCACAAUCAUGACCUUCUUUAUGUGGCUCUCUUGAACCACACCCUCCUCCUCCUCCUCCUCAGCACCCAUAAUCCUUUAUAACAAGCUUCACUUUUUCACCUUCAAAGCCUCAUCUAAUUUAUUCAGUUUACCUGCCCCUCCCUCCCAGUCCUAUGUGGCAUAAGUGGCAGAAGGACUCCAAGCCUUGUUUUUUUUCACUGUAGUACAAAGUACCUAGGAAUAUGCCUGUCACUCAGUAAGCAUGUUGAGUAGGUGUGCAUAGCUGAGUGCACCUAAUGAUUUAGAGAAAAAAAAAAAAAAAGUGGAGACUCGUUCCUUAUCUUACGAGGAGCCAGAAAGAAGCCUGAGCUCAUUUACAUCAGACCUAGUGCCAAGUUAAAGCUUCGCCUAUAGGCUGGGGGAGGUCUAAGGACUAUAUGAGAGCCCAGCAUCAGGUGUGGGGCUUUUGGAGGACCCUCCACAUUAUAUUCUUCACCUUAGAACCUGAGAUGGAGCCCAUCAGAGCAGAGUGACCUGGAGGAAGACAGUAGGAAAGAAAGCAAUGAAUGGGGCAGGAUCAGAGGAUUCUGGGGAAGAGGAGGAAGCCUCCACCAGCCAGGGUGAACAACCAACUAGGCUGGAGCCGUCACUUUCCCACAACCCACCAGGAUAAAACUCAUGGGAAAUUACAGGCACUAGAGUCACCCUCAGAAAUUUGGUCCUUGUGAACCAGGUGGCACAUGUCACGAAGCCUAACAUCAAAGGUGGACUGGACACCUGAGAUUCUAUGAACCUGACUGGCCGAGGUAACUGUCGAGUCAAUGUGAAGUGCUAACAGUCACCUCUUGACCAGAGGGGCCUGGUGCUAGGACAGCCAGAAUGGUGGAUGUUGGGCAUCUAUGGUCAGAAGAGCUGGAGGGGAAAGUGUGGAGAGAUGGACCAAAAUCCUCAUGGGAGGAACAAGUAGAAGAGUUCAUGGUCAUGCUCUCCAGCUUCAUGCUCUUCAUCAUGAUAUAGGCUUCUCACUUGCCUGUAAAUGGCCAAGAAUAUAAACAGCCUCUCAUUCAUUCCUUAAAAGGUUGAUAGAGUCACUAGUCCGUGUCACUCAUGAAGACUCUCACAUAGGGCAAUGAAGUGUCCUACAGCUGGGACCUGCCAAAGCUUAAACUGCCAGCAAGAUGGACUUUCCUCAAUUCAACCUCUCUUAAAAAACCUGGUGCCUCUGUGACCCAGAGUUGGCCCUGACACCAGGUGGCAAGUACCAAGGACUGGAGCCAGGCUUCUAAAACUCCCAAAAUAAGACCUGAGACCUCAUGAAACAGCCUUUCCCACUCCGCUUUGCAACAAGUUCCUAGGCAAGGUCUGAGCCACCUCCUGUGUGUAUAAGGCAUCAUUGAAAUCAUAGAUAUGGGGGCUUCAAAAGCUGUCUCCACCUUGCUUUCUAGGCUACCAUAGGCAAACUGCUUGAAUAUUAUGGACUAGGUUUGCUCCUCAUCUUUCAAGUGUGACCAGCCAUCUGGAAAGGCAGGCAGCCUCGCCCCCUUACUGGGAGUCCUUAAUUUAGCAUUUGGGCUAAAGGAUUCUGGACCAGAGGAUGUGCAGACUCUCUGAGCACGUUUGAGGGAUGGUGGGAGCCUCCAGAAUCCUCACUAGGAUUCAUUUGAUUAAGCUUUUGAUCCAUGAGACCAUGGUCCAUUUCUCAACUACAUCUUCUACCUCAUUUAAGAGGGGACAUUUUUUUGUUGUUGUUGUUUCUCUCAUCCUACAAAACAACUCAACAACAACUAAACAUGGGAAGGGAUUGAAGUCAUGGCUUGAGGAUGGAAUCUGAGGUUUAUAUAACAACCGCAGCAAUAGUGAUGUCACACACACACGCACACACACGCACACAUAUAUAUAUAUACACAUGUCCAUCAUUAAAUUCAAUUCCUAAGCUUGUGAGGUUUUGUCUUUAUCUUCAUCUGGCACAUGGAAGAGAGCCUUGAUAUUGGAGAGUAGUCCUGGGUUGCACAGCUAAGCAGCAGCAGUGCUGAGACUGAGAAAAGCACCUGAUGCCAGCCUCUGUAUUCCACACUCCUAUAUACACAUGUCCAUACACACACACAUACAGACACACAUACUCAGACACACACAUUCAUAGACAUACACACAUAUACAAACAUACACUCACACAUAUACAUAGGCAUACACAUACAAGCACACAGACUCACACACAGACACAUACUUACACACACCUACACUCACAUGACACAUCACACAUUCACUUACACAGACACACACUUAGACAGGCAAAAUCACACAUGCUCUCUCACACACAUACACACAGCAUUCUUGGUAAAUUAAUGGAUACUUUUUCUGCUCUUCUAAGCCAAUGAAAAUAAGUGUUAAAGAAUGUUGUUGUCCUAAGGAAAAUUAAAAAAAAAAAUGGUAUAGCCACAAUGGAAUUAUGCAUGAUUGAGUAGGUCCUCAGAUCUUGAAGAAAGCACUUGGCCACAUUUUCUGUCUCUUCCUUGCCUGUUGUAUUCCACUGCCUAAGAUCCCACUAUUGCCCUAUUGAUGAGCCAUUCUUUUGGAUUAAAAGACUAUUGUUUUUGGAAA